CACAUUAGUUGGUUGUUUUUUGACUUUUAAAAGAAUCCACAUCAACAAGCCAAGAGGGAGAAGAGAAGAGGUCAAGGGACAAAAGUGUCCACUCUCAGCGGAGUCAGCCCUCUUUCCAGUGGUUUUGCAGGAGCCCUUAUUAUUCGCCUCUUGUUGAGACUCCCUUGAACACUUCAUUCCCCUCUGAGAAAUUGCUAAAUGUCAGCCAAAAAUGAAUGCUGCAGGAUCUUGGAGAAUCUGACAAAUGAUGGACACUGAUAGCCCAUUCUGUGGCGAGUUACUCAGAGGGACAGAGAGAACCUGAUUUGGGAGCUGUCCCUGGCAAGUGACCAAGAUAGCCUAAGGUGAUCACAUGAUGGGUCUGCUGGAUAGAGGUCUUCCAACCAGCCCAUGACAUUCAUUUUCUGGAGAGAAUAUUAGAAUUGGAGAAGGUUGUGUCAUUAUUCUAAGAUUCCUUAAGGAGGGCAAUGGGAGCAGAAGUGAACCUCCAAUUCAGGAAGCAGUGGGAGCUCCACUUCACCUAACUCUCAGCUGUCCUUAAGUGUGAACUGAAACUGGUGAGUAAUUUUCUUAGAGGAGUCCAGGAGCAGCCGAUAUGUUUAAGACCAUCACUAGCAGGAGAUCAAGCCAGUUAAUGAUUCCUUCUUCUUGUCUUAGUAACUUUCCCAUCACUGGGACAAAAUACUCAAUACCUGCAACUUAAAAGAGGAGGGUUUUAUUUUGGCUCACAGUUUCUAGUGGAUUCAGUCCAAAGACAGCUGGCUCAAAGGCAGAAAGGAUGUGAGAGAAAGACCUGGUGGAGGACAGAUGUUCAUCACAUCACAUAGCAGCCAGGGGGGAGAGAGAGAGAGAGAGAG